CCUACGGGUGGCAGCAGUAGGGAAUCUUCCACAAUGGGCGAAAGCCUGAUGGAGCAACGCCGCGUGGGUGAAGAAGGUCUUCGGAUCGUAAAACUCUGUUGUUAGAGAAGAAAGUGCGUGAGAGUAACUGUUCACGUUUCGACGGUAUCUAACCAGAACGCCACGGCUAACUACGUGCCAGCAGCCGCGGUAAUACGUAGGUGGCAAGCGUUAUCCGGAUUUAUUGGGCGUAAAGGGAACGCAGGCGGUCUUUUAAGUCUGAUGUGAAAGCCUUCGGCUUAACCGGAGUAGUGCAUUGGAAACCGGGAGACUUGAGUGCAGAAGAGGAGAGUGGAACUCCAUGUGUAGCGGUGAAAUGCGUAGAUAUAUGGAAGAACACCAGUGGCGAAAGCGGCUCUCUGGUCUGUAACUGACGCUGAGGUUCGAAAGCGUGGGUAGCAAACAGGAUUAGAUACCCCUGUAGUC
rnacentral:rRNA from 1 species